CGGCCGUCGGGCGAGAUCCAAGGGUCGCCUACGCUUGUAGAUGCUCAGCCGGUGCGGCUGCGGACGCGGGUUCGAUUCCCGCCGCCUCCACUU
rnacentral:tmRNA from 1 species